UACGGAGGGUGCAAGCGUUGUUCGGAAUUAUUGGGCGUAAAGGGCAGGUAGGUGGUCUUGUAAGUCUACUGUGAAAUCCCCGGGCUUAACUCGGGAAGUGCGGUGGAUACUGGUAAGACUAGAGUGCCGGAGGGGUUCGUGGAAUUCCCGGUGUAGCGGUGAAAUGCGUAGAUAUCGGGAAGAACACCCGUGGCGAAGGCGGCUCUCUGGGACGGUACCGACGGCUGAGACGCGAAAGCGUGGGGAGCGAACAGG
rnacentral:rRNA from 1 species